GGUGAAAGUCAAAGUGAAGUGUCUCUCUCUUCUACCAGUCAUUCGACCCCUGAGAAUCUUGAAAAUGGUGAACUCGAUCAAUAUGAAAGAUAUAAUGAUGAAGAACUGGCUGAGAGACUUAAUGAUUUGGAUCAGAACCUCUAUGAUGGGUGCCAAAUAACAAGGCGAGAGAGUAUUCUACUCAUAAUGGGACACAUCAUAAGGAAUCAUGUGAGUGGAACAGCUCUGCAGAGCCUACUGACAGUCUUGGAGGCACAUUUACCAGCUGGAACUGUAUUCCCUGCUUCCCAAUAUCUUUUUAUGAAGAACUUUAAAAACAGUGACAUCACUCUAAGAUUUCACUCAUACUGCCCUUCUUGUAUAACCUACAUUGGAAGUAAUGAUAUGUGGUGUGAAAAUUGUGACACAAAUGUGUCUGUAAGUGACUGCAUAGAUAAUGGCAAUUAUUUUAUAACAUUUGAUGUUAAAGAUCAAUUGUUAUCUAUGCUACAGAAUGAAGAUAUUUGUAAACACCUACAAAUUGGGGCAAAAAGGGGACUUUGUGAUUCCUAUGGAGGUCGAUUAUAUCGUAAACUCCCUCUCGAGAAUGAUGACAUUACUGUUUCAUUCAACAC